UCAUGUAGGAUGUGCUUUGAUAUGCAGAUUUGUUGUUUUAUUCACUAGUAGAAAAAAUGAAUAAGGCACCGCAGCUUUCGCACCGGUUUUUGAAAAUCGGUGUUAAAAGAAAUAGGCGGGAUUGAGGGAAAGAGUUUUUGCAUCGGUUCUUACAAAACCGGUGCGAAAAGUGAGUAAAUCGCACCGGUUCAGUUCGAACCUGUGCGAAAACUCUUGUUAAAUUAAAAAAAAAAAACCCGGUUAUAAUUUAAUCUUCUUUCUUUCUCUUGAAACCCCUCGAUCUUUCCUCCUCUCUUAUUCUCUCUCCACUCUCUCUCCUCCAUUGAAGCGUUCUCAUCUGUCUCUCUCUCCUUUCCUUUCUUCUCUCUUUCGAUCGCCUAUGCACCCUUCCCCGGUUUCAUUGUGGAGCUCUUCAGUUGUGCUCCAUCAAUUAAGGGUUUUGUUUGGCGGUGGUGGCUAUGGUGGCCUUAUUCGACCUAUAAUCGUUGGCUUCAUCUUCUUUUGUCGAAAACUCUUCAUGAAACCUCACUCAAAAUCUGAGGUGGACGGUAAAAGCAAGGGAACUAAAGGAGAAAAGGUAAAAAAAAAUCAACUGUGCCGCAAGAAAAAGUAAGCAUUGAUGCAAAUGAAGAGAAAAAUAAGAAGAAACGGAAGCAAAAGCAGGAAAAUGACCUCCGAUUUGAAGCAGAGAUGGAAAAGUUGGAUGGUGUUUCAACAAGAAAGCAGAGGAAGAAAGAGUAAUUGUGUGUGUUUGAUCAUCUUUCCUAAAUGGCAUCAGCAGCCUCUAUAGCCUGUAUGUCAUAUUCAGAUUGCUGCCAGGGUAUCCAGCUACAAAAGGGCAGAUUUCCAAUUGCAUAUGAAAGUCAGGGAGCAUCUCUAAUGCCAGCCUUGUCUUUCCUGUCUCUACACCAUCGAAAUCACAAGCUAAAUCACAUAGGGCUUCUCAAAGCUACACGACGCCCUCCGGUAGUCUGUGCACGCCACCCCAAGAAUUGUGACAGCAUUUGGAUUCCAAUACAGUAAAAUGUUCUCUCAAACAUACAGAGUCUUAUGUUCCUUCUACCCACCGAAUUUGCUAGCCGAGGGUAUUCAGAUGCUCACAGAUGCAACUAGUACACCUCAAGACCCUGGAAUGAGCUAGAAGGGAAGGACAAAAUGUUCGCCUAAUGAUGAAGAAUGUAUUUUAACAAUGAAUGAUAUCUUCAUAUGGCUGUCGGGGACGUUUGUUAUGUGGUUUGUUUUGGCUCGUUACUUCGACAAUAUUAUUCCGAACCCCUAUGGAGUAAGGAAAUCAGUGUUCUAUUUCUUGUAUCCUGGAUAUUAGACAGGCAAAGGUGGAAGUAAGGCACAAGAGGGUGGCAUCUGUACCUGCUUUAGUUCUUCCUCACAGCCUGAGCAUGUAACUCCUGAUGAUGAGGAUGUUCUUCAAGAGGAGAACAAUGUUAAACAGCAAGCAAACGAAGGUGUUGUUGAUUCAAAUGUUGCAGUCCAAAUACGUGGCCUUGCAAAGGUUUAUCCCGGAUCAACAAGUCUUGGAUGCUGUAAAUGCAAAAGGACUCCUCCUUACCAUGCUCUCAGGGUAAAUCUUGCUGUUGCUUUGUUAGACAAAAUUAAUGCAGUAUGUUACAUUAGAAUGGACAGAAGACAAAACAAAGCUAUGCUAUAUUUUUUUUAGUUUUUUAAAGUGUAUUAUUACAAGUUAUU